AUGACCUUGACAGGUACUCAGGACACUGAAGCAGCCACGACAGUGCAACUGACGACCCUCACGAAAGAGGACUUCCAGAGCUGCUCCAGAAAGCGGCCAGAACAAUGGGAUGAAUGUGUUCAAAGACAGAAUGCUUUGGACCCUAAAAACUAG
rnacentral:lncRNA from 1 species